rnacentral:rRNA from 1 species
ACGGGGCGCAGCAGGCGCGAAAACUUUACAAUGCGGGAAACCGUGAUAAGGGAACACCGAGUGCCAGCAUCAUAUGCUGGCUGUCCAGAUGUGUAAACUACAUCUGUUAGCAAGGGCCGGGCAAGACCGGUGCCAGCCGCCGCGGUAACACCGGCGGCCCGAGUGGUGACCGUUAUUAUUGGGUCUAAAGGGUCCGUAGCCGGUUUGGUCAGUCCUCCGGGAAAUCUGAUAGCUCAACUAUUAGACUUUCGGGGGAUACUGCCAGGCUUGGAACCGGGAGAGGUAAGAGGUACUACAUGGGUAGGAGUGAAAUCUUGUAAUCCCUGUGAGACCACCUGUGGCGAAGGCGUCUUACCAGAACGGGUUCGACGGUGAGGGACGAAAGCUGGGGGCACGAACCGGAUUAGAUACCCGGGUAGUCCCAGCCGUAAACUAUGCUCGCUAGGUGUCAGGCAUGGCGCGACCGUGUCUGGUGCCGCAGGGAAGCCGUGAAGCGAGCCACCUGGGAAGUACGGCCGUAAGGCUGAAACUUAAAGGAAUUGGCGGGGGAGCAC